rnacentral:lncRNA from 1 species
UAUAACAUGAAUUUUACUCGGUUGUUUAGCAUAUAAGAUUCUGGAGUAACUCUUUCUUUCCCAAGAUGAGGAAUUUUGGACAACUUGGUUAGGUGCAGUUUGUUAUGAUGAUCUGUUUCAUCGGCCCAAGAACUCCUCUGGUAUUAAGGUAGAAGAUUAAAUUGGGACGUUUCAUAUUGAGCACAACAUGAUAUUGCAAAUUGGUGUAGUAUUGCUUUAAUUUUGUCAUCUCUACUAUAAGAAAGACUUCAUAUUUAUAUCUUUUUGAUACUCAUCAACUAUUAUGCAAGACAACUAUGAUUGUGUAUUUUUUUGGGAUAGUGUUGGAACAUGAGUAUGAAGCAUUUAAGAUUCCCGAAUACAUCUCUUUGCCAUCCCCAAGGAUGAGGAACUGGACAAGCUUGGUUUGCACUUUUUUGUUCUUUUGACUUUUCAUUUAUGGAUUGGUUAUGAAGAAUUCUUUGCACAAUUUAUCGGAUAAAAUUCUUUAUUGGAUAAUCAAAAUAUGUGUUAAUCCGUUUUGCAGAUAUAUGAAGUCAUUGGAUAUAUGAACAUUUUGUGAUUGCUUUUAUGAGAAUUUCACACCAUCAAACUUCUCUUGACUCUUCUUUAACUGAUCAAAAUUUUGUUUUGUAUAAUUCUUCGUUUGAAAAUCAAGAGAUGCGAAGUUUCGAUGUUUAGAAUGACUUGAUACAAAGGACAAGAAUGGAGAAGAUAAAUCAAAUUUCUUCAAUGAGUCGUUCUAUACUAUUUUUAUUUAAUUUUGGCCUUUGAUUUCAAGACGUAGGAAUUGAAGUUUGAACAUAUUUUUCUAGUUUGUCAAAAUAAUAACCUUCUAAUUUGUGAUUGUGCUUGGCUGGUUAUACUUGUUAUCGUGCUUCCAUUCGGAAAUCUCUUUUCUGACUAUGAAUUUUUCAUGUUUCUUUGUUUGUUUUGAGGAUCAAUACUUAAUUCCUUCAUCAGUUUCUGUGGUGUUACAAGGGUGAGAGACUAUGAAUUACUGUGCGACUUGAAAGCUGUGGUAGACAUUAUUAAGGAAAAGCUUUGAGCCUUUGGAUAUAGCGGGUCAAUUUUCCUUGAAUUUACUUGUUCUGGAAUAGGUGUCCUAUGAUUUUUAUGUUCACAAUUACAAGUCUUAAUAUUUGGAGAGCUUUAGUAAUUAUGAUUUUAUAGUACAUAUCUAUCUCUUUCUUGGAUUAUCUCCAGAUAUACAUCUAUUUUGCAGUGAGUUGAAGUUUGAUAUAAUAAAGGAGAGUGAAGAUAAAUCAUGUUUCUUCAAUGAAUCAUUCUUUACUAUUUUUUACUUUCGAGCUUUGUUCAUAUGACAUACAAACUCAAAUUGCGAAUAUACUUUUCUGCAGCAUGGUUUGGCGAAAUCCUAGCGUAGAGCCUCGUGUUUUGAUUUGGAGAUCUCUAGUAAAUUCUUUUUAUUUCAGUGUUUCAUUAUUGAUUCUAGGACGAUAUAUUUCUUUAUGUUACUUUUCUCUAUGGUUUUGCAGGAGAGGUUGUUUAUAAACACACAUUUGGUUCUGGUUCUAUUCUCUCACUAUUUUUUCUUUUGUACUCUGGUCUCUUGAUGUUGAGGUUUGAUUUGGUGGUUGCUAGUUAAUACUAAAAAUAUAAGAAUAUUGAGAUAUUUGUUUAUCUAUUUUGCAGCAAGUUGGAUUUUGGAUAUAUGAAACAAUUUGCGAUUAAUGGAUAAGAACGAUUAUGGCUAUAUACAUAAUCAAAUUUCAUCAAUAAGUCGUUCUUUAUUACUUUUAGUUUUGGGCUUUGAUUGCAAAGACAUACAAAUUGAAUUGUGAAUUUGUUUUUCUGCAGCAGCGUGGUUUGUGAAAAUCAAAAUAAUAACUAUCUUUCAUCAUAGCGUGGAGCCUUCAUGUUUUGAUUUUCUUAUCUCUCUUAAAUUAUUUUAGUUUUCAAUAACUCUAUUGCUUUUGAAUGCAUAUUUUCUUGAUAUUUUAUUUCCUCUGAUGUUGCAGGAAAGUAAUUUGUGAACACCGAUUCCUUUUGGUUCUGGUUCUAUCUUUUUUUUAUUAAUCUUCAUGUUUUGUAUUCUUAUUUACUUUUGGUCUUUUGAUUUAGUUCUGCGCUUUGUGCUACUUCUUUAUCCAUGCUUCUCAUUCAUUCUUGGGAUUUAAUUGGUCUUUUUUUUUUAUUAUAUGUAUUUGUUCCCAAAUAAUAGUCUUUGAUCGUGUUCAAGCUGAUGUUUUUUUUUGUGUUUCCUCUAGUGUUGAAGUUUUGUGUUUCGGUAUCCACAGCCUUGAGUAUUACUCUGUCAUAGGGUACAAGAUUCUGAAAUAUCUCUCUUUGCCUUCCCAAGUUGAGAAAUUUUGGACAAUUUCGUUACGUCAUGUGUUGUUUGCUUUGAUGGUUUGUUAGUUGGUGACAAAAUAACUUUGUUGGGAAAGGUUUUCUAUAAUUUUCUCUUGUUGCUUUUAUUUUGAUUUGUGAUUUAAGAUUAAUGCGAUGAUACUCCUAAAAAGAUAUCCUCUUCAUUACAGUGGCCUAAGGGCAAGACUUUGGCACCAAGGUACACAAUUCAAUCACUUUUUACUUCACUCCUUCUUGAUGACAUACUGACUUGAGCGUUGGAGUGCUAACAUGUUUUGCAGGUAUCUUUCUCCCCACCGUGAUCCACCGUACCACAAAUCUAACGCCACCGUAACUGCCUUAAGCCUCACCAUUGGAGUUAUCUCAUUCUGAUCUGGUCAGAAUAGAUAAAUCAAUUUAAUAUCUUUUUACUAUUUUUUAGGAUUUGAUUUUAAGCAAAUUGAAUUAAGAACAUGUUUUUGUGCUGCGUUGGUUGUCAAAAUUCAAAAUAUUAACCUUCUUCAUAACAUGUAGAUGGAGCCAGAAUUUUGAUUUGGUGAUAGCAUGUUUUUCUGCAACCUUUCUUAAUAGCAUGGUUUGUGUAUACAAUAUGAAUUCAUUGAGGAGAAGACAAAAAGAUAUUCUAAGAUACUUUAAAAUAAUAUCAAAGAUACUAAAGAUAUUUUUGGAUAUUUUAACGGUUUGAAUCUUCAUGUUAUGUAAUCUUUUGAGGUUUUAUUUGGUUGUUGGUUUUGAUCUUAAAGUUUGCUGUUCUAUUUUUAUUGAUCUGCUACUAUAAUUAAGUUUCUUUUGUCAAUUGUUUUGUGAAACAGAUGCAUGAUAUGAUUAUCACCUCUUGUUGAAUUGUGAAUUGAAAACAUGUAACUUCUAUUAUGAAGCAAUCAGGUUUAAUUUCGUACAUACUUCUUGGAUUGUGAAUUAUUUUCAAUUCAUUUAUACUCUGUGGAUUUUUAUUGUGCAAUCUUCUCUACAAGUUUAUUGAGGUGUGAAUUAUGUUGGUAUUGAAAAGUUCAGUUGUAGGGUUUCUUUGUGCCAUCAAUACAUUUAAGUUUUUGACUUGUAUAAUUUGACUGUGUGAAAGUUACAAAAUUCUGGAUAAAUUGGGAGUGAACAGCUUUGUGGAGCUCUCUUCCUAACUAUGAUCUUCUGAUCAGGGACUUUUAUUCAUAGAUUUUUCUACAUGUAUUUGUCACAUCGUGAUUUUAUUAUUCUUUGUUUGUUCAAGAUGGUGUUGAUCGUGCAUCCAGAACCUUUGUACUACUCUAGCAUAGAUUACAUGAUUUUGGAAUGACUCUUUGGCCUUCCCAAGAUGAGGAAUUUUGGACAACUGAAUAUAAAUUUGAUUCUGAUGAUUUGUUCUUGGUGAUAGCUUAACUUUGUUGGGGGAGGUUUUCUAAAUCUCCAUAACUGUUUUGUUGUUUUUAUUGUGAUUUAUGAUGAUGAUUUGAUGAUGAUACUCCUAAAAAGAUACCCUAUUUAUUAUAGUGGCCAAAGGACUCUGCUGUAUUUGGAAGAAGCCAAAAUCAUGUCAUUUCAUAUGGUUACAAUGAUCUUGCAAUGAUCUUACAAAUUGGAUGGAAAUUUAGUCAACUCUUCCAAGACUCUUCUUUACAUUUUAGUGUUAUUUUUAUACUCAACACAGAAAAGUUCAGUUCCUUUGAGUUUUCUUUGUUGUUGUUAUAGGGGAGAGAGCCUAUAAAUGGGUGGUUCACUGUGGAACCCAUGGCAGCCAGAGGUUGACAUACUGUUCAGCUUGGGAUUUUGGAUAGUGUCAGAGUUUUUGUGUAUAUGUAUCAGAAAUGUAAGUAUGAAUGAAGCAAUAAUGAGGAAUUUUGGUUUGGUUCCAGAAUCUGCAAUUGGCUAGCUGUUUCAUUUGGUUAUCUCUACUCUGACUAUGCAUUCUUCAUGUUUCUUUGUAUAUUUUGAGGAUAUAGUUUUCUUGAUUCUAAGGACCUGUUUUUGCUGUACUGUCGGAUUUGAAAGCUUUAAGCCUUUGGAUUCAACGGGUUACUUUUUUCUUUGAGUGUUUGUUCUGGAAUAGGAGGUGUCCUAGUAUGAUGUGGCAGUGCUGGUAUUUAUUUAUGUUUAGAAUUAUGAAUCUAAGUAUUAGCAGUGCAUCUCUUUCUUGGAUAAUCAAGAUAUAAGCCUAUUUUGCAGUGAGUUGAACGUUUGUAGAUACUUGAUGCAUUUUGUAGUGAGCUGGUUGAUUUUUGAUUUCUGGAUAUCUGGAACAAUUUGCAAUUAUUGAUGAUAAUGGCUACAGAUACAUAGAUCAAGUUUCUUCAAUGAAGUCGUUCUUUAUUAUUUUUAAUUUUGAGCUUUCAUUGUAAGAUACAAAUUGAAUUGUGAGCUUAUUUUUCUGCAGUGUGGUUUGUCAAAAUAAUGAUGUUUAUUCAUCAUAGCAUGGAGCCUGAAGUUUUGGUUUGCCUAUUUCUUUUUAAAACAUACUUUUUUGAUAUUUUAUUGCCUCUGGUGAUGCAGGGACGAUAAUAAUUUUCUUUCUCUUGUUUGAUCUUCCAGUUUUGUAAUUCUGGUUAUUUUCUCUGGUCUUUUGAUUGUGAGGUUUGAUUUGGUUCUGGCUUUAAUGCAUGUUAUUUUCUGCAGUGAAGUGUGUUUUGAAACAAUAACAUUUUGUUAGCAUCAAGCCUCAGGUUUAUUUGGUCUACUUGGAAUGUGAAUUAUUUUCAUUUCAUUUUUUCUCUGCCGAUUCUUAUUGUCUAGUCUUCUGGAUUUUUUUUUCUAGGCUUUAAUUUGUCAUCUGUACUCAUAUUUGAAUUCUUUACAUUUCAUUAUAUUUGUUUCAGCAUCCACGCUUCUUGAUUGCUUUGUGAAAGCUUAUGGUGAGGUUAUCACAUACUUUUCCUUUUUUAACUUUGGGUGAGUUUUACUCGGUCUUUUAGCAUAUAAGAUUCUGGACUAACUCUUCCUUUCCCAAGAUGAGGAAUUUUGGACAACUCGAUUAGGUUCAGUUUCUUAUGAUGAUCUGUUUCAUCGGCCGAAGAACUCCUUUGCUAUUAAGGUAGAAGCUUAAAUUGGGACGUUUCAUAUUGAGCACAGCAUGAUAUUGCAAAUUGGUGUAGUAUGCUUUAAUUUGGUCAUCUUUGCUAUAAUAAAAACUUCAUACUGAUAUCAUUUUGAUACUCAUCAACUUUAUGCGAGACAAAUGUGUCCUGCCAAUACUGGAGUUUAUAUUGUUUUCAUAUCAGGAUUAAAGCAUCCAAGAUUUGAAGUAUAUCUUUAUGCGCAUGCUGACAGCUUGGUUCUGUUAAUUUGCCACUUCCUUUGAAAGUGAGGAAACCCAAAUAAUUGUCAUUUAAGAUGGAGCACCAAUCUGUAAUUGGCUGUGCCAUAUGUUCUCACUGUCAUGAUGCAAAGAUUUGGUGAUCUCUACUCUGGCUAUGAAUUCUUCAUGUUUCUAUUUCUCAAGGAUUUAGUUUUCUUGAUUCUUUAAGUUUCAUGUGGGUGUCACAGGUAGGAUAUGGAUAUAUGGACUGCGAAAGCGGUGGCGGGAAUAUGACUUUUGCUGUGUUACUGUGGAAUUAUCUAUCAAUGUGAUGUGGUAAUGUUGAUUUGUGUGUGUUGUUUAUUAGGAAUCUAAGUAUUAGGAGAGCUUUAAAAUGUAUAAUUUUGUUGUAUGUCUGUUUCAAGGUGAGGAGUUGAAUAUAUAUGACCAUGGGCUCUUCGUUGAAUUUUUUUUUCUUUCUUUUUUCAGGCUUUGUUCUGGGUUUCUGUGUUGAAACAAAUGCUUAAGUUUUUUAAUAUGGUGACAAUUAUUGGAUUUUAAGUCAAUUUUACUUGAUUGGUUCUCUGUUGAUUCUUGUUGUUUUUUCUUCUCGAUUUACAGGAGAGAAAUAAAUGAAUGUGUGACUGGCGGAGAUUAUUAUUGGUUGGGGUUUGCUUUAAUACUAUUUUUUAAGCCUUAACCUUUAUUUUCUUACAAUUGCUUGUCCUGCAUUUGUUUUUCAUGUUUAGAAUCUGUGUAUAUUUUUCACUACUCAACUCGGGCCAUGAUUGGUGAACAAGUUAAUACUGACUCAUCUCUCUAAAUAUACUGUUACAUAUAUUAAUGUAACCUUGGAAGUGGCAAUUAAUCAUCAAGAACUAACUUAUUAUUUGUACAACUAAAACGAGAAGAAUGAUUCUUAUUCCUAUAUAUGGAUGCAUCAUACUGAAAUCACAAUAUAAUAGUACUUAUUCAAGAUAGAGGCCUACUACAUUGAUUCUUAGAGCUAUAUUUUCUUUGAUUUUUUGAUCCGUUGACUAGAUUGUUUGCUCUGUCGAGGCUAUAAACAAAUUUACAUUUGUGUAUUUGUUUUGGGAUACUCAGUAUCUACUUUUACAGUUCCUUUGAGUUUUCUGUGUGGGAGAGAGGUACACAUACUUUCCGUCCAGUCUAUAAAUGCGUGGUUUGCUAGGGAUCAAGUGUCAGAAAAAGGUUCACAUACUUCCAUUCAGCCUUGGGAUAAACAAUCGUUUUACUUACAUGUGUAUUUUUGUUGGGAUAGUGUUUCAGAUUCCAGAGUUACAUCUCUUUGCCAUCCCCAAGGAUGAGGAACUGAACAAGCUUGGUUUGCACUUUUUUGUUCUUUUGACUCCUCGUUUAUGGAUUGGUUAUGAAGAAUUCUUUGCACAAUUUAUUGGAUAAAAUUCUUUAUUGGAUAAUCAAGAUAUGUGUUAAUCCGUUUUGCAGCGAAAUGAAGUCUUUGUAUUUUGUGAUUCUUGAUUAAAUGGAUAAGAACAGAUAACAUUUCCAGAUAAAUCAAUUUUCUUCAAUGAGUCAUUCUUUAUAAUUUCUAUUUAUUUGCUUGGAUGGCAAGACAUGCGAAUUGAUUAGUGAAAAUGUUUUUCUGCAGCGCACGGCUUCUUCAUAGCAUGGAGCCUAGAGUUUUAAUUUGGUGAUCUCUAGUAAAUUCUUUUUGUUUCAAUCUUUACUGAUUAUGAGAGCAUAUAUUUCAUGAUUUGUUAUUUAUUCUUUUGUGUUGCAGGUGAGGAUGUGAUUUUGAUAUACAUAUUGAUAUGCUUUCAUGAGAAUUUCAUACCAUAAAACUUUUCUUGACUCUUCUUUAACCGAU